GCUUUCCAAGGAGGCAAAUGUUGGCAGUAGACACACAGAAAAAGACCAAAAGAAAUACACCCACCUGUGUUUCAGUUUCCAAGGUAAGAAUUGCUAGCUGGGGAAAAAGCUGUCUCCAGGAAGAGGUUUAUGGGGUUAUUUUUAUUUUCUUCUCUACACACUGCUAUGUUAUCCAAAUUUUCUACAGUAAUUCUACUUUUACAACCUAGAAAACAAAAUUCCAAAUAAUAUUUUUAAAAAGAGCAUGUGUAUUUAUUUAGGGUCUACCAUGAGUCAAGACCUAUAUGAGAUACUUCUUAAGCAUUAUAUUUAGUCCUCACAAUAACCCUGUUAAGGUAUUAUGAUAUCCAUUCAAAGAUGACAAAACUAAGACUCAAGUAAUGCUCUCAAAGUUAGUGGCAAUGUCAAGAUUUGAACUCAGAUACCGUCUUUCUUUCUACUCUGCAGCUGUGUCAAAGUAGGAGUAAAUUAAAUAUCAAACAUGUUAAACAUUCAAAAGGGUAAGAGAUCACUGUGGGCGGGGCAAGACUAGUCAGAGAAGAUUCUGUGUCAGAAGUAGAAUCUUGCCUUUGAAGAUUAGAAAAAAUUUGGAUAAUGGCUAAUACAUACUGAGCUCUUACUGCAAUCCAGGUUCUGUUCUAGUGCUUUGCAAACAGUCACACUUUGCUCCUCCCAGCAACUUACGAGGUGGGUGCUAUUACUGCACAGGCGAUUUGCCCAGGGCACAGAGCCCGUAAGUUGUGCAGGCAGUCUGAACCUAGACCUUCUAAGGUUUUUCACCGUUUCCUUCUGCAUCUCCGGACGUGGUAAUGACAGCACAGAAGAACAUCCAGAGCAAAGAGCAUCUGGGCACGGUCAGCAGGCGGGAGUGGAGUGUGCUCACGUGAGGAAGCGCGUGUAGGUGGGACAGGGAAGGUAGGAGGUGAUGAGAGAAUGGUAACUGGGAAACAGUAAAUGACAAGGGAAGUACGGUGGGUGAGGUCACUGGAUUAAACAAUACAAAUCUAAGGUUUGGGUUAUCUCUACUCCUUUGGGAGACAGAGAUGAGCCUCUGGGUGGGGUAGGGGGGAGGUAAUCGGCAGAAAAAUGUGUUCCUGUGAAUGUUCUGCUCGCUUUCCUACAGCUCCCUCAUUCCAAUCGCAUUCCAGCUUACAGAAGAUAAAGCCAGGUGGGGAUUUUUGUUUAUCUUUCUAAGAAGCCCUGAGAACAGAGAAGGAAGAUGUCGGGCCGCAAGGUCCGGUUGAGAAAGCUCUCUCCACAGAACACGAAUUCAUUUUAUUUCCCACCAAGAUUCCCACUGAGCUGCAAAAUGCGAUUCUUCGAGUUGAGUAUUCUUACUUCCCCAUAUUACAGAUGAAGAAACUGCGCUGUAGAGAAGUUAAUUUGUCCAAAGUCACACAACUUUUUAAGUGGUAGAGCUGUGAUUCCCACCCAGGUCUGACGCUGAAGUCGAUGCCUUUAGCCAAAUAACUACUGAGUAGCCAGGGAAGAAAUCAGAAGUCAGAUUCUUUCCUCAGCCAUGUCCAGUCUACUAAUAACCUCAUCCAAGACAAUCUUCUAGGCUCAUUAAAAGAUGUUCUUCCCCAUACCCUUCCCUCCCCAGUGAAUCUUCUGCCCAUUCAUUUUUUACACUCUAUGUAAUCAAUCAACAAGAGAAACUCAGGGCAGCCGCUCACCUGAGCCUGCCUGCUUUCCCCUUGAGAGUGUACUAUCCAUCCCUUAAUAAAUCCCCACCUUACUUCCUUAA